ensembl:lncRNA
GCGGGGCUACAUUGGAGAGUCGUGGGCGUGGAGAAGCAGCGAUUGGUGCUGGGGCGGGCGGUGUUUUGAGUGCGCGCGCGCGCAGGCGGGAGCGCGUACGUCGGCAGCGCGGAAGUUAGGGUCUCGAGGAGGCUGCCACCGGCUGAUCCUUCCUCCGGCGGCCGCCCUCCGUGGCCAGUUGUCGGACUCCGGGAAGUAGGCGCUGAGGGCUCGCCCCCUGCGUGUGUGAGCGCUUCUGUCUCUCUGGCGGCUACGCACGGCUGUCGCUCUGGAGAGACUGAGGAGGAAACGGGGGUGGGAGGGGAUUGCGACUGCAGUGGGACGCGGGAGCGGCGGAAGCACCGCGCUGGAGCGGUCCGGUGGCGUCGCCGGGCUUCCUUGCCCUCCCUCCGCCCGGCCGGGCUGGCUCGGAUCCCCGGGUCGAGCGCGCUGCUGCGUCACACCAGGCAGCCAGGCCGCCACUGUUGAGCAUCUCCGGCCGCCUCCCACGCCCGGGCGAGUGCACGGCCCGAGCUCCCGAGCCGAAGCGAAAGAAUGCGAGCUCAGGUUGUUGACGUCCUGUGACGCUGCUGGAUUGCAUUUGUGGGUGACCGUUGCCUGGUUCAGAAAAGAACUUUCACCAUCUUUGCUUUCUAGGUCCCUCCCUGGAGGGCGGAUUAAAGGAUGCCGCGACGAAUCGCAAAAGAACAAAAGCUCUCCAGGGACGCUGGUAACUGUCUCAUUUUAACGUGCUACAAUUUAGUUGAUAGUUUUCUGUUGUAACUGUAUCUGCGGGACUUGCUGACAACUCUUUGAGUGUGCUGAAAACAUUGUAUUUUCAGGCGCGGUGGUGACCCCCUCCCUUGCUCUAUUGUUGAAAGCAUUUAUUUUUUAAUCAGAAUUCUUUACACAGCCGUUUUUUUUGUUGUUGUUGUUGUUUCUACAGGUACACAGUUAAUUUUUAGGGGUUAACUUUUUUUUUUUAAUUUUCUAAUUACGUUCUUUUGUCGUUUGAGAUGGUGUAAAGACCUGCGUUGGAGUGUCUUAACAUCCAUUCCCAAAAUAAUUAUUUCCCCGUUUGGGAAAUAGUCGUUUAACUGGUUUGGUCCAGAAAGUUCAAGGAGAUCUCAAAAUGUUUAACUCCAAAUAUGUGCUUAUUAUAUUCAAGAGUAUAUUUAUCCUUGGGGAGUGGGGGGAAGUAUGAGGGCCCUAUUCAAAAACUACUGUACCCUGUACGGUAUAUUUCUGCAGGCCAUUGAAUAGUGAAACAAAAUAGAACAUCACCAUCUUUUUCUUCUCUUUCCUUUAACCCUAGAUAUUAAACAGCUCUAAUGCUGAGUUUUAGGAAUAGCAGGAUCAUGCAGGAUGUAGCUCAGCCGUGUAGCGCUGGCCUGGCAAGCGCGAGGUCCCCAGUUCGAUUCUUGGUACCAAAAAGGAAAAAAGAUCUUAAGAGUAUAUCCUCAAGGUGUAAAUGCUGAGUGUGAAAAACAAAGUGUAAAUGAGGACCAAAAUGUAUGAUAGAUAUUGUGAAAUAGGAAGAAAAUGUUCAAAGGGGAAGGAGAACUAGGGAGGGGGAGCAGGGAAAGGAAAGAAGGGAAAGAAAAAAUUGAAAAAAGAAGGAUGAAACGGAAGCAAAGCUUUUUGUAAAUAAGGAGGGAUGGAGAGGUUAAAAGGGAAGAGGAAUGGGGAAAAAUAAGAACCAAGAUGUAUCAUGUACAGGUACAAAUUACUAAUGAAUGUUUUCAUAAUGUAUACCUAAAAUGUACUGAUAAACUUAAUUAAAAAAAAGGAAAAAGAUCAUGCAAAUAUACAUUUCUGAAUUCCCUGAAGUAUUACAAACUAAGUACUGACCUUUAACAUUAAGCUUUAUAUUAAUGUUAUAAAAUAAUGGGAGCUUCCUGGGCCUUUAUUUUUGUUACCAGAUUGGUAAAUAAAAAAUUAAAAUUACAGAAAUACUAACCAUACAGAUAAAGCAUCUUAUAAUCAGAAGCAUUCGGUUAAUAACAUUCUCAAUUAAAACUACAUUAUGUCAUGUUAAAAAAAGAGUUACUGUAGAAAGUCUAUUUUACAUAUUUUCUGAAAGCAUAUGUCAAACCUUUUACCUGUGCCUUUGAUGUGCUAGUCUACAUGUAAGAGCUCUAAUAACUUUUUUCAGAAACAUAUCUUGCCAAAUUUAUAAAAUAUUGAACCUUGGAGAGUUACGUUUCAGGUAAAAUCAUAACAUUUUAUUGCUUUGCAAAAUUUUAGAAUGACUGUUAAGAAUAUGGAGAAAUAAAAGUAAGUAGAAAAUAGCAACAAUUGUGCCAGUUUGGUUUUUUUAAGUCAGUAGGAAUGCAAACGUAUUUUUUGAUGAUUUGUUACCUGCAUAAUUAAAUUCUGUUUCAGUUUGUAUGAAUUGUCUUUAUUUUUGCUUUCUGGUACUAAAAAUAUUAGCCAAACACUGAUAAUCUCAACAUGUAAAUAGCAAAAAUGCCAGAAAAUUAACAUUAACCAGGAAGCUUUUGUUACUGUUUAAUUUCGCAUUUGGAAAAUUACACAUCCCUUAGGAAUUUACAGUGUCUAAGACAGCAUUUUAUGGGUCUUUAAUUCUGAUAUACUCUACUAGAGCUAAUCACCAGUGGGUACUCUUCAGUGGGGAUGGACAGAAAAUCACUUUUCCAGAAUUGUGAAGUGAAGUAGAAUGCUAACUCUCACUUUUCUGCUAAUUUUUUGAAUGCCAAGAUAGAAAUUACAUUUCAUAAUAAUGUUCUCAUUGCCUAAAAGUUGUGCAAACAAGUUGCCCCUAAAACACUUAGUAUUAAAGCCGCUGGCCUGGGAUUAAGCUCAGUGGUUCCAGCACCUGCCUUGAAAACGCAAGGUCCUAAGUUUGAUCCCAGGUACCCCCCCGCCCCCGCCAAAAAAUAAAGAACCUGAUAAAGCCAGGGACUUAGCUCUGUGGCACUGCACCUGCCUCGUAAGCUCAAAGUCCUAAGUUUGAUCCCCAGUACCAAAAAAACCCACUUAGUAUUGAAAUAUGGACAGUCUCCAACUUCACAUGGGUCAGCUCAAUAUUUUUCAACUUUAUGAUGGUGUGAGAGUGAUACACAGCCAGUAGAAACUGCUUAAAAUUUUGAAUGUUGAGCUGGGCAUGAUGGUGCAUACCAACACUCAGGAGGCUGAGGCAGGAGAAUCGCUGCAAGUUCAGUGCCAGCCUGUGCUACAUAGUGAGUUCACCACCCGCCUGUGGUGAACUCACUAGACCAGUGAAACCUUGUCUCAAAAAGCAAAUUGUUUUCUCUUUAUUGAAUAUUUAUCUUUCCCUGAACUACGGAUGUGUAGUAAAUGCUCAAUGCUGAGCAGCAGCAAAGUGCAGCUCCCCAUCAGCCAGUGAUCAAGGGGGUAAAAACCACUACCACUGGUACUCUGGGUACUAUGGUGUUAAGCCAUGAUGUUCAGUAGGUUGAGUGUAUUAAAUGUAUCUAUGUGUUUGUGGUACUGGGAAUUGAACCCAGGGCCUUCACACUGAGCUACAUUCCCAGCUCUCUGUCUUUCAUUGCAUAACCCCAUUUUAAGUCAUGUAUUAGUAGCCUCAAAUCAUCAUCACCCACAUCCUUGCCAAACAGGAAAGUCUUUCCAAAUAUGUAUUUAAAUUUACAGAGUCCUUUGAGUAGAACUCAUGAAAUUUUAAGUUAUAGUGAAGAUUCACUGUACAUUUUCUAUUUUCCUAAUCAUAAAAAGGUAUGGGUGAGGAAUUAGGGGUUCCAGUUUCAGGUGGGGAGAGGAGACUAUCACCUAGGAAACUUUUUCCUAAUUACAGUGCUUUCUUGACUCCCAUUCCACCCUCUUCUAAUCCGAGAAUUUCUAGAAAGCAUUUGGGAAAAUUUCCCAGGUUCUGAUACCCACCAGCAGCUCCUCCAUCUUGUUUAUGGCCACUGUAUUUGGGGAUUUUGACUGUUAAGUCCUUUGUUGUUUUGUUUUUUAAGAGAGGGACUCUCGCUGUGUUGCCUGGCUUGGCCUUCAACUCCCGAGCUCAAGUGUCCUCCUCCCUCAGCAGUCCAAAGUAGCUGGGAUUACUAGCUCUUGGUCUGCCCACACCUGGCUCUUGACUGACGCAUUUUUGAAUCACAAUAAAAGUUCAAAGAGAAAGUUCUUAGAGAUGAUACUGAGAAGCAACUGUGUGUAAAAAUGUAACAGACAUUGGGUGGAUUCAAAGAUAGCUACUUCUUCUACUUACAAAAUUGUUUCUGUACGGUAAGAAAAAAAGAUGUUUAGCUAAAUAUGUAAAUUAUCAUAUAAACAUGUAUGAAGGUAUCAUACAUACAUGAUAUUCUAAUUAACCUUUUCACAGCUGACCUCAUCACUGCCUCCCAUCUUUCCUAGUAGACGCUCAACAUCCUAGACACACAUCUCUUCAGGUAGAGGAAGAUGAGCUGGAGAAGUUGCACUUGCCGGAGUGUGCUAUUUGUUGAAGAGAAGACACACCAGCUGCUGUCACUGAUGUGCUGAAACUGUCAACUCCAAGAGAAGGAGCAAAAGAAUGAUAAACAGUACAGUGUAUCUGGGCAUGAUGGCACAAGCCUGUAAUCCCAGCACUCUGGGAGGCUGAGGCAAGAGGAUCUAAGUUCAAGACCAGCCUCAGUGAGACCCUCUCUCAAAAUAAAAAAUACAAGAAAGGGCUGUGCAUGUAGCUCUACAGUAGUACAGAAAAUAAAUAAAUAUAAAUGUAUAAGUAUACAACAGCAGAUACAUAAACCAGUGACAUGGUCACUUGUUAUCACCAUCAAGCAUUAUGUACUGUAUCAUUGUAUGUGCUAGGCUUUCACAGGACAGGCAGCACUGUGAUUUUGUUUACGACAGCGUCAUUGUGCUACUGCUUUAUGGGGCCUCCCAUCUCACUGGGUGAUAGGGAGUUUUUGGCUCCAUUAAGAUCUGUGGGACCACUGCUGUAUUUGUAAUUCAUCAUUGCCCAAACUAUCACUGCGUGGGGCAUCACUGUAUAGAAGGCACACACAUGCACACACUCUCUUUGAACUGCCUGCAUUUUUCCUCUAAGCAGGACAUCUGUGUCAGAAUAUUCUCCCAAGUCACUACUGUGACAUUUUUAGUCAUUGUGUGGCCACAUUCUGCCAGGGAUUCAAAUACCAGGUCCUCAUUGACAAUGAGAUAGCUCUGAUCUAAUCCUCAAACUUUUAUCUAUCAUGGUUCAUAUGAGUUUGCACUAAACUAUGAAAUAAAUUUGUCCCAGCCUGGGCAAUUUAUGACUUAAUAAGACUUUGUCUCAAAAGAAAAAAAAUUUUUUAAACGGGCUGGGUAUGUAGCUCAGUGCCAAGGUUCUGGGUUCAAUCUCCAAUUUAAAAAAUAGUGUUUUAUUGUGUUAUUUUUUGGUCUUUGUGCCUCUGUCUUCUUUCACAGAAUUAAAACCUUUAGAAUUUUAUCAGUGUUAGGACUGUCCUAGUAUUCUGUGUUAAUCUGUUUUUCAUUAGUAUAAUGAAGUAUCUGAGGCGAGCUAAUUUAUGAAGAAAAGUGUGUAAUUUAACUCAUAGUUCUGGAGGCUCCAGGGCCCACAUCAGGUUAUGGCCUUUUUGUUGGGAGAGGCCUGAGACAGCACAGAGCAUCCUAUAAUGAGAGACAAGAGCUUGCCCUUUGGCUUCUUUCUGCUUGUACAGCUGUGACUAUUGAAUCCUAGAGGUUCCACUGCAUAACUUUCUCUAAACUAAUUACCCCCUAAAGGCCUUACCUAUAGGCAUCAUAGUUGAAUUAAGUUUCCACCCUUUUAAUACCCCUCAAUGAGGAUGAAAUUUCAACACGCCAUCCCUGCCAUCCCCGUGGGUACUAAAACUACAUCUGAACCACAACACCCCCUUCUGAUAAUACCUGAAUUCAUGCUGAUGACCUAGGGUGGAGACCCAAGACAACCUUGGACCAGUUACCAGAAAGACUAAGUGAUUACAGAAGAAGAGUAUUGGAAAGACCAGCCCUACCCCAAACCUCCAGGAAGGGGGAGGGCUGGAUAUCAAGCUCUAUAAAAACUCUUAGACAACAAGAUUUCAAGAGCGCCUGGGUUGCUGAACACAGAACUGCUUCGAGGGUGGUGAACCUAGUGCGAAGUCCCAUACUCUCUCCACCAUCCCUCACCUUAUCCACUUCUUCAUCUGGUUGUUCAUCUGUGUGCUUCAAAGUACACUUUACAAUAAACCAUAAAUUAAAGUGUCUCUCAGAGUUCUGUGAGAUAGCCUAGCAAAUGGUUCAGAGUUCUCCAAGGGACAGAAUCAACAGGAUAGCUAUGUGGGAGAGAAUUUAUCAGGGGAUCAGGCUCAUUCCCUUUUGGAAGCUAAGAAAUGCCACCACAGGUUGGCAGCAGGCUGAAGAACUUGGGAUGUUGAUGGUGUGGCUCAAUCUAAAUUCAAAUGCCUUAGAACUAGUAAAGCUGGUAGUGUAGAGCUCGAGGACCCUGGGAGUUACUGGUGGAAAUUCUGAGAGUCCAAAGUCCAAGGCAGAAAUGAAUGUAUCAGAGCUCUCUGGGGGGAAACCAACUUACCUUCUGUAUUUGUUCUAUCCAAGGGCUGGGGAUGUAGCUCAAUGGCCCCACACCUGCCUGGCAAGCAAAGUCCUGAGUUCAAUAUCAAGUACAGGGAGUGGGGUGGGGUGGGGGGUAUUUGGCAGAGCUGGAUGUAUUCAUACCUAUAAUCUCAGCUACUUGAGAGGCUGAGCCAGGUGGACUGCAAGUUGGAGGGCAGCCUGGGCAAUUUGUUUAAAAAGGCUGGGGGAGUAGCUUAGUAGCUGUGUGCUUGCUAGUUUAGCAUAUCGGAG